GAUGAACGCUGGCGGCGUGCCUAACACAUGCAAGUCGAACGGAGAUUACGGACGGAAGUUUUCGGAUGGAAGACUGUAAUUCUUAGUGGCGGACGGGUGAGUAACGCGUGGGCAACCUGCCCUAUACAGGGGGAUAGCAGCUGGAAACGGCUGGUAAGACCGCAUAAGUCGGCGAGACCGCAUGGUUUUGCCGGGAAAUGAGCAAUCAGGUAUAGGAUGGGCCCGCGUCCGAUUAGCCAGUUGGCAGGGUAAAAGCCUACCAAAGCAACGAUCGGUAGCCGGACUGAGAGGUCGGACGGCCACAUUGGGACUGAGACACGGCCAAACUCCUACGGGAGGCAGCAGUGGGGGAUAUUGCACAAUGGAGGAAACUCUGAUGCAGCGACGCCGCGUGAGUGAAGAAGUAUUUCGGUAUGUAAAGCUCUAUCAGCAGGGAAGAUGAUGACGGUACCUGACGAAGAAGCCCCGGCUAACUACGUG
rnacentral:rRNA from 1 species